GGGGGUGUAGCUCAGUUGGGAGAGCGCCUGCCUUGCAAGCAGGAGGUCAGCGGUUCGAAUCCGCUCACCUCCA
rfam:Natranaerobius thermophilus JW/NM-WN-LF, complete genome.